rnacentral:sRNA from 1 species
CCUCAUCUUCCCAACAGCCCUGUAGGCAUCCAGUAUUGAGAAAGGUGAGGCUCAGAGUAUUUAUGAACUUCCUAAGGUGAUACAAGCAGCAAGUGCUGGAAGCAAGACUCUACCGGGCUUCCAAUUUGACUGCAACAUUGUGAAUUUCACAGCCUAAAAAGUCUUAAGACCCACCCAGACCAACACGAACGCUGGCAGCAAGGCUGGGUUAUGAGGAGAUGUUUGGCGAUUACUGGGUGAGACGGAGGUCAAUUGUCAUGGACCUUGCAGCCUUCAUAUUAUGGAUGGCAAGCGGAAGCACAGACAUCUUCAGAAGCUCACCCAGCUACUCAUUAAGAGAAAGAUUCUGCUUUAUCUACCACAAAACCCUGGUUUUCUAAAAGAAGGAAAGAAAGAAACAAAGAACAAGACAAGCAAUAACACCUGCGUCUUUGUCGCUGGCCAUGAAGAUGAAAUGAGGUAGUGCCUCUAUGGUGAUCACUCUGACAGGAGACAGGCGCUGCACAUGUCAGAGGCUCUGAUGCUGACCCCACCCCUAUCCCACGAGUCUCAGUCUUUUUUAGUAGACUGAGCAAUGGCUCUUGCUCUAUGCACUUUUUUGGACCUUGCUGAAGCUACAGACCCCUCCGUAUUCCAAGGAAGGAUAUUGAUUGGAAGGUCACAGAGGGACUGACCCCAGCUAGACUAGGCUCCAUCAGAAGGCCGAUGCUUGCAGUUGAAAGCUCAAGAUCUGGGAGAGGACCGCAUGCCCAGGGUCUGGAGCCCAAAGAAUUGGGGGCUUUGCACAUAUAGCACAUACUUGGAUCACACAUUAAAUGAUACCCACUUAAAGGAGCUGUGGAGACUCCAUGUCUGAGUCACCAGAGUCUCACCAGUGGGAGAACCAACACUUCCCAGCUACACGUUUUCAGGAUGGAAACCAAUCGUCCCUUUAGUCCUUUCUCCCAGAUUCCACAUUUCAAUGUUUAAAAGGUUCUACCACCACAUCAGGAGGAUCGAGUGGGAGGUGA